rnacentral:rRNA from 1 species
GUGGGUUGCUCCAGAAGUAGAUAGCUUAACCGCAAGGGGGGCGUCUACCACGGAGUGGUCCAUGACUGGGGUGAAGUCGUAACAAGGUAGYYGUAGGUGAACCUGCAGAAGGAUCA